rnacentral:piRNA from 1 species
UUCUGAGAACAUCGUGAAACA